GACAGAGGCAGAGAAGCAGAAGCAGACUCCCUGCAGGGCACCUGAUGUGGAACCCAUCCCAGGACCCUGGAUGCACGCCCUGGGGUGAAGCCGCUCAACCACUGAGCCUCCCAGGCAUCCUGCUUGUGUUGAUUUAAUCCGGAGGAAUCAACCCUUUACCAGAAGGUCUCCACAGAAUCAGCAUUCUCUGCAACUCUAAUCUUUAGUCAUGGCGUUACUCUGGACAAGGAGACAGAAAUUGGGCAGUGAGCAGGAGGGCUGGAGUCGACAUCUGGUUUUGGUUUGACCCCAGCAUUCACUCACCUUCUAGAAACGGUCACUUUAUUGACCUCCAGGGAACUAACACCAUUCUCAGUCUAUGUGCAGGUGGAGUUGUCUUUCCCCAACACACCUAUGUUAAGAAUGCGUCUAGAACUCGGGCCUGGCCAGAAGGGGGUUUUUACCCUUUUGACGACAGUGAUUGCUCACGGAUGGUCAGGUGCCACUAUGGAGCCAGUAAGGCACAAUGGGAUUAUGGCAGGGACUACUGAGGGAGACAACCCAUUUUUAGCUACACUUAAAGCUUGAAAGAUACACUUAAAGCUACAAAAUUGUCAGACAGAACGUCGGUCCAGAAUAUGGAGCCAAGAAAUGAAUAGAAUCUAUGUGGCAUCAACCGAGCUCACCAUGAACCCUCCUGCCUGAGGACAGCCUUACUUCCAGACAUUUUCAGACUCUCUCCUUGUUUGAUGAAGUAAGCUGCCAUGUUGGAGAAGCCCACGUGACAAGGAACCAGCCAACUCCAUCCAUGGGCCAGCAAGGUACAGAGGAUCUCA